rnacentral:rRNA from 1 species
AGUGAACGCUGGCGGUAGGCCUAACACAUGCAAGUCGAACGGCAGCACAGUAAGAGCUUGCCCUUACGGGUGGCGAGUGGCGGACGGGUGAGGAAUACAUCGGAAUCUACUUUUUCGUGGGGGAUAACGUAGGGAAACUUACGCUAAUACCGCAUACGACCUACGGGUGAAAGCAGUGGAUCUUCGGACCUUGCGCGAUUGAAUGAGCCGAUGUCGGAUUAGCUAGUUGGCGGGGUAAAGGCCCACCAAGGCGACGAUCCGUAGCUGGUCUGAGAGGAUGAUCAGCCACACUGGAACUGAGACACGGUCCAGACUCCUACGGGAGGCAGCAGUGGGGAAUAUUGGACAAUGGGCGCAAGCCUGAUCCAGCCAUACCGCGUGGGUGAAGAAGGCCUUCGGGUUGUAAAGCCCUUUUGUUGGGAAAGAAAAGCAGCAGGUUAAUACCCCGCUGUUCUGACGGUACCCAAAGAAUAAGCACCGGCUAACUUCGUG